CCAGUCACCUGCUCACCCCUGCAACAACGAGCAUGGUAAUGAUGAUAGAUAGAUAGAUAGAUAGAUAGAUAGAUAGAUAGAUAGAUAGAUAGAUAGAUAAGGUAGAUAGAUACGGUAGAUGGAUAAGUUAAGCUAACUGUAAAUAGAUAAUAUUAGAGUUAAGAUAAGAGAUAUAUAUAUAUAUAUAUAUAUAUAUAUAGAUAAGAUAGAUUGUAAUUAGAUAAGCUUAAAGGUAAGUUAAGAUAGAUAUUUAGAUAAGAUAGAUUGUAAAUAGAUAAUAUUAGAGUUAAGAUAAAAUCAUUAUCAUGCCCGACGUUGCACCUUUGUCUUUUUUAAGUAUCAUUGUCUGCCAGGAACAUAUUAUCACGCUUCUCUCCCUUUUCCAGGUGGGCAUUCUCCAUGAAGCAGCAUGUGAGGAGAACAUCAAGCAAGCUACAUCCCUGCUUACUGUGAGGCCCCCUUGACUCAAAACUUCUCACGGCAACGAUCAAAGGUGAACUACAGCAGAAGAAGACCCAGGACAGGUAAUUAAUAAUUAUUAAUUACUGAUAAUAUGUCACUGGUAUACAUUGAUGCUUAAAAAAUAGGGCAAUAGGGAAGGGGCAAAGAAGGUAUUAGUAGUGGCUCCCCAAUCAGCACCAGUCACCUGCUCACCCCUGCAACAACGAGCAUGGUAAUGAUGAUAGAUAGAUAGAUAGAUAGAUAGAUAGAUAGAUAGAUAAGGUAGAUAGAUAAGGUAGAUAGAUAAGGUAGAUAGAUAGAUAAGGUAGAUAGAUAAGGUAGAUGGAUAAGUUAAGCUAACUGUAAAUAGAUAAUAUUAGAGUUAAGAUAAGAUAUAUAUAUAUAUAUAUAUAUAUAUAUAUAUAUAGAUAAGAUAGAUUGUAAUUAGAUAAGCUUAAAGGUAAGUUAAGAUAGAUAUUUAGAUAAGAUAGAUUGUAAAUAGAUAAUAUUAGAGUUAAGAUAAAAUCAUUAUCAUGCCCGACGUUGCACCUUUGUCUUUUUUAAGUAUCAUUGUCUGCCAGGAACAUAUUAUCACGCUUCUCUCCCUUUUCCAGGUGGGCAUUCUCCAUGAAGCAGCAUGUGAGGAGAACAUCAAGCAAGCUACAUCCCUGCUUACUGUGAGGCCCCCUUGACUCAAAACUUCUCACGGCAACGAUCAAAGGUGAACUACAGCAGAAGAAGACCCAGGACAGGUAAUUAAUAAUUAUUAAUUACUGAUAAUAUGUCACUGGUAUACAUUGAUGCUUAAAAAAUAGGGCAAUAGGGAAGGGGCAAAGAAGGUAUUAGUAGUGGCUCCCCAAUCAGCACCAGUCACCUGCUCACCCCUGCAACAACGAGCAUGGUAAUGAUGAUAGAUAGAUAGAUAGAUAGAUAGAUAGAUAGAUAGAUAGAUAGAUAGAUAAGGUAGAUAGAUAAGGUAGAUAGAUAGAUAAGGUAGAUAGAUAAGGUAGAUGGAUAAGUUAAGCUAACUGUAAAUAGAUAAUAUUAGAGUUAAGAUAAGAUAUAUAUAUAUAUAUAUAUAUAUAUAUAGAUAAGAUAGAUUGUAAUUAGAUAAGCUUAAAGGUAAGUUAAGAUAGAUAUUUAGAUAAGAUAGAUUGUAAAUAGAUAAUAUUAGAGUUAAGAUAAAAUCAUUAUCAUGCCCGACGUUGCACCUUUGUCUUUUUUAAGUAUCAUUGUCUGCCAGGAACAUAUUAUCACGCUUCUCUCCCUUUUCCAGGUGGGCAUUCUCCAUGAAGCAGCAUGUGAGGAGAACAUCAAGCAAGCUACAUCCCUGCUUACUGUGAGGCCCCCUUGACUCAAAACUUCUCACGGCAACGAUCAAAGGUGAACUACAGCAGAAGAAGACCCAGGACGGGUAAUUAAUAAUUAUUAAUUACUGAUAAUAUGUCACUGGUAUACAUUGAUGCUUAAAAAAUAGGGCAAUAGGGAAGGGGCAAAGAAGGUAUUAGUAGUGGCUCCCCAAUCUGCCACAGCACCAGUCACCUGCUCACCCCUGCAACAACGAGCAUGGUAAUGAUGAUAGAUAGAUAGAUAAAGUAGAUAGAUAAGGUAGAUAGAUAGAUAAGGUAGAUAGAUAAGGUAGAUGGAUAAGUUAAGCUAACUGUAAAUAGAUAAUAUUAGAGUUAAGAUAAGAGAUAUAUAUAUAUAUAUAUAUAUAUAUAUAUAUAUAUAUAUAUAUAGAUAAGAUAGAUUGUAAUUAGAUAAGCUUAAAGGUAAGUUAAGAUAGAUAUUUAGAUAAGAUAGAUUGUAAAUAGAUAAUAUUAGAGUUAAGAUAAAAUCAUUAUCAUGCCCGACAUUGCACCUUUGUCUUUUUUAAGUAUCAUUGUCUGCCAGGAACAUAUUAUCACGCUUCUCUCCCUUUUCCAGGUGGGCAUUCUCCAUGAAGCAGCAUGUGAGGAGAACAUCAAGCAAGCUACAUCCCUGCUUAUUGUGAGGCCCCCUUGACUCAAAACUUCUCACGGCAACGAUCAAAGGUGAACUACAGCAGAAGAAGACCCAGGACAGGUAAUUAAUAAUUAUUAAUUACUGAUAAUAUGUCACUGGUAUACAUUGAUGCUUAAAAAAUAGGGCAAUAGGGAAGGGGCAAAGAAGGUAUUAGUAGUGGCUCCCCAAUCAGCACCAGUCACCUGCUCACCCCUGCAACAACGAGCAUGGUAAUGAUGAUAGAUAGAUAGAUAGAUAGAUAGAUAGAUAGAUAGAUAGAUAGAUAGAUAAGGUAGAUAGAUAAGGUAGAUAGAUAGAUAAGGUAGAUAGAUAAGGUAGAUGGAUAAGUUAAGCUAACUGUAAAUAGAUAAUAUUAGAGUUAAGAUAAGAUAUAUAUAUAUAUAUAUAUAGAUAAGAUAGAUUGUAAUUAGAUAAGCUUAAAGGUAAGUUAAGAUAGAUAUUUAGAUAAGAUAGAUUGUAAAUAGAUAAUAUUAGAGUUAAGAUAAAAUCAUUAUCAUGCCCGACGUUGCACCUUUGUCUUUUUUAAGUAUCAUUGUCUGCCAGGAACAUAUUAUCACGCUUCUCUCCCUUUUCCAGGUGGGCAUUCUCCAUGAAGCAGCAUGUGAGGAGAACAUCAAGCAAGCUACAUCCCUGCUUACUGUGAGGCCCCCUUGACUCAAAACUUCUCACGGCAACGAUCAAAGGUGAACUACAGCAGAAGAAGACCCAGGACAGGUAAUUAAUAAUUAUUAAUUACUGAUAAUAUGUCACUGGUAUACAUUGAUGCUUAAAAAAUAGGGCAAUAGGGAAGGGGCAAAGAAGGUAUUAGUAGUGGCUCCCCAAUCUGCCACAGCACCAGUCACCUGCUCACCCCUGCAACAACGAGCAUGGUAAUGAUGAUAGAUAGAUAGAUAGAUAGAUAGAUAGAUAGAUAGAUAGAUAGAUAGAUAGAUAGAUAAGGUAGAUAGAUAAGGUAGAUGGAUAAGUUAAGCUAACUGUAAAUAGAUAAUAUUAGAGUUAAGAUAAGAUAUAUAUAUAUAUAUAUAUAUAUAUAUAUAUAUAUAUAGAUAUAUAUAUAUAGAUAAGAUAGAUUGUAAUUAGAUACGCUUAAAGGUAAGUUAAGAUAGAUAUUUAGAUAAGAUAGAUUGUAAAUAGAUAAUAUUAGAGUUAAGAUAAAAUCAUUAUCAUGCCCGACGUUGCACCUUUGUCUUUUUUAAGUAUCAUUGUCUGCCAGGAACAUAUUAUCACGCUUCUCUCCCUUUUCCAGGUGGGCAUUCUCCAUGAAGCAGCAUGUGAGGAGAACAUCAAGCAAGCUACAUCCCUGCUAACUGUGAGGCCCCCUUGACUCAAAACUUCUCACGGCAACGAUCAAAGGUGAACUACAGCAGAAGAAGACCCAGGACAGGUAAUUAAUAAUUAUUAAUUACUGAUAAUAUGUCACUGGUAUACAUUGAUGCUUAAAAAAUAGGGCAAUAGGGAAGGGGCAAAGAAGGUAUUAGUAGUGGCUCCCCAAUCAGCACCAGUCACCUGCUCACCCCUGCAACAACGAGCAUGGUAAUGAUGAUAGAUAGAUAGAUAGAUAGAUAGAUAGAUAGAUAGAUAGAUAGAUAGAUAGAUAAGGUAGAUAGAUAAGGUAGAUAGAUAGAUAAGGUAGAUAGAUAAGGUAGAUGGAUAAGUUAAGCUAACUGUAAAUAGAUAAUAUUAGAGUUAAGAUAAGAUAUAUAUAUAUAUAUAUAUAUAUAUAUAUAGAUAAGAUAGAUUGUAAUUAGAUAAGCUUAAAGGUAAGUUAAGAUAGAUAUUUAGAUAAGAUAGAUUGUAAAUAGAUAAUAUUAGAGUUAAGAUAAAAUCAUUAUCAUGCCCGACGUUGCACCUUUGUCUUUUUUAAGUAUCAUUGUCUGCCAGGAACAUAUUAUCACGCUUCUCUCCCUUUUCCAGGUGGGCAUUCUCCAUGAAGCAGCAUGUGAGGAGAACAUCAAGCAAGCUACAUCCCUGCUUACUGUGAGGCCCCCUUGACUCAAAACUUCUCACGGCAACGAUCAAAGGUGAACUACAGCAGAAGAAGACCCAGGACGGGUGGGCAUUCUCCAUGAAGCAGCAUGUGAGGAGAACAUCAAGCAAGCUACAUCCCUGCUUACUGUGAGGCCCCCUUGACUCAAAACUUCUCACGGCAACGAUCAAAGGUGAACUACAGCAGAAGAAGACCCAGGACAGGUAAUUAAUAAUUAUUAAUUACUGAUAAUAUGUCACUGGUAUACAUUGAUGCUUAAAAAAUAGGGCAAUAGGGAAGGGGCAAAGAAGGUAUUAGUAGUGGCUCCCCAAUCUGCCACAGCACCAGUCACCUGCUCACCCCUGCAACAACGAGCAUGGUAAUGAUGAUAGAUAGAUAGAUAGAUAGAUAGAUAGAUAGAUAGAUAGAUAGAUAGAUAGAUAAGGUAGAUAGAUAAGGUAGAUAGAUAGAUAAGGUAGAUAGAUAAGGUAGAUGGAUAAGUUAAGCUAACUGUAAAUAGAUAAUAUUAGAGUUAAGAUAAGAUAGAUAUAUAUAUAUAUAUAUAUAUAUAUAUAUAUAGAUAAGAUAGAUUGUAAUUAGAUAAGCUUAAAGGUAAGUUAAGAUAGAUAUUUAGAUAAGAUAGAUUGUAAAUAGAUAAUAUUAGAGUUAAGAUAAAAUCAUUAUCAUGCCCGACGUUGCACCUUUGUCUUUUUUAAGUAUCAUUGUCUGCCAGGAACAUAUUAUCACGCUUCUCUCCCUUUUCCAGGUGGGCAUUCUCCAUGAAGCAGCAUGUGAGGAGAACAUCAAGCAAGCUACAUCCCUGCUUACUGUGAGGCCCCCUUGACUCAAAACUUCUCACGGCAACGAUCAAAGGUGAACUACAGCAGAAGAAGACCCAGGACGGGUGGGCAUUCUCCAUGAAGCAGCAUGUGAGGAGAACAUCAAGCAAGCUACAUCCCUGCUUACUGUGAGGCCCCCUUGACUCAAAACUUCUCACGGCAACGAUCAAAGGUGAACUACAGCAGAAGAAGACCCAGGACAGGUAAUUAAUAAUUAUUAAUUACUGAUAAUAUGUCACUGGUAUACAUUGAUGCUUAAAAAAUAGGGCAAUAGGGAAGGGGCAAAGAAGGUAUUAGUAGUGGCUCCCCAAUCAGCACCAGUCACCUGCUCACCCCUGCAACAACGAGCAUGGUAAUGAUGAUAGAUAGAUAGAUAGAUAGAUAGAUAGAUAGAUAGAUAGAUAAGGUAGAUAGAUAAGGUAGAUGGAUAAGUUAAGCUAACUGUAAAUAGAUAAUAUUAGAGUUAAGAUAAGAUAGAUAUAUAUAUAUAUAUAUAUAAGAUAGAUUGUAAUUAGAUAAGCUUAAAGGUAAGUUAAGAUAGAUAUUUAGAUAAGAUAGAUUGUAAAUAGAUAAUAUUAGAGUUAAGAUAAAAUCAUUAUCAUGCCCGACGUUGCACCUUUGUCUUUUUUAAGUAUCAUUGUCUGCCAGGAACAUAUUAUCACGCUUCUCUCCCUUUUCCAGGUGGGCAUUCUCCAUGAAGCAGCAUGUGAGGAGAACAUCAAGCAAGCUACAUCCCUGCUUACUGUGAGGCCCCCUUGACUCAAAACUUCUCACGGCAACGAUCAAAGGUGAACUACAGCAGAAGAAGACCCAGGACAGGUAAUUAAUAAUUAUUAAUUACUGAUAAUAUGUCACUGGUAUACAUUGAUGCUUAAAAAAUAGGGCAAUAGGGAAGGGGCAAAGAAGGUAUUAGUAGUGGCUCCCCAAUCUGCCACAGCACCAGUCACCUGCUCACCCCUGCAACAACGAGCAUGGUAAUGAUGAUAGAUAGAUAGAUAGAUAGAUAGAUAGAUAGAUAGAUAGAUAGAUAGAUAGAUAAGGUAGAUAGAUAAGGUAGAUAGAUAGAUAAGGUAGAUAGAUAAGGUAGAUGGAUAAGUUAAGCUAACUGUAAAUAGAUAAUAUUAGAGUUAAGAUAAGAUAUAUAUAUAUAUAUAUAUAUAUAUAUAUAGAUAAGAUAGAUUGUAAUUAGAUAAGCUUAAAGGUAAGUUAAGAUAGAUAUUUAGAUAAGAUAGAUUGUAAAUAGAUAAUAUUAGAGUUAAGAUAAAAUCAUUAUCAUGCCCGACGUUGCACCUUUGUCUUUUUUAAGUAUCAUUGUCUGCCAGGAACAUAUUAUCACGCUUCUCUCCCUUUUCCAGGUGGGCAUUCUCCAUGAAGCAGCAUGUGAGGAGAACAUCAAGCAAGCUACAUCCCUGCUUACUGUGAGGCCCCCUUGACUCAAAACUUCUCACGGCAACGAUCAAAGGUGAACUACAGCAGAAGAAGACCCAGGACAGGUAAUUAAUAAUUAUUAAUUACUGAUAAUAUGUCACUGGUAUACAUUGAUGCUUAAAAAAUAGGGCAAUAGGGAAGGGGCAAAGAAGGUAUUAGUAGUGGCUCCCCAAUCUGCCACAGCACCAGUCACCUGCUCACCCCUGCAACAACGAGCAUGGUAAUGAUGAUAGAUAGAUAGAUAGAUAGAUAGAUAGAUAGAUAGAUAGAUAGAUAGAUAGAUAAGGUAGAUAGAUAAGGUAGAUGGAUAAGUUAAGCUAACUGUAAAUAGAUAAUAUUAGAGUUAAGAUAAGAUAUAUAUAUAUAUAUAUAUAUAGAUAUAUAUAUAUAGAUAUAUAUAUAUAGAUAAGAUAGAUUGUAAUUAGAUACGCUUAAAGGUAAGUUAAGAUAGAUAUUUAGAUAAGAUAGAUUGUAAAUAGAUAAUAUUAGAGUUAAGAUAAAAUCAUUAUCAUGCCCGACGUUGCACCUUUGUCUUUUUUAAGUAUCAUUGUCUGCCAGGAACAUAUUAUCACGCUUCUCUCCCUUUUCCAGGUGGGCAUUCUCCAUGAAGCAGCAUGUGAGGAGAACAUCAAGCAAGCUACAUCCCUGCUAACUGUGAGGCCCCCUUGACUCAAAACUUCUCACGGCAACGAUCAAAGGUGAACUACAGCAGAAGAAGACCCAGGACAGGUAAUUAAUAAUUAUUAAUUACUGAUAAUAUGUCACUGGUAUACAUUGAUGCUUAAAAAAUAGGGCAAUAGGGAAGGGGCAAAGAAGGUAUUAGUAGUGGCUCCCCAAUCAGCACCAGUCACCUGCUCACCCCUGCAACAACGAGCAUGGUAAUGAUGAUAGAUAGAUAGAUAGAUAGAUAGAUAGAUAGAUAGAUAGAUAGAUAGAUAGAUAGAUAAGGUAGAUAGAUAAGGUAGAUAGAUAGAUAAGGUAGAUAGAUAAGGUAGAUGGAUAAGUUAAGCUAACUGUAAAUAGAUAAUAUUAGAGUUAAGAUAAGAUAUAUAUAUAUAUAUAUAUAUAUAUAUAUAGAUAAGAUAGAUUGUAAUUAGAUAAGCUUAAAGGUAAGUUAAGAUAGAUAUUUAGAUAAGAUAGAUUGUAAAUAGAUAAUAUUAGAGUUAAGAUAAAAUCAUUAUCAUGCCCGACGUUGCACCUUUGUCUUUUUUAAGUAUCAUUGUCUGCCAGGAACAUAUUAUCACGCUUCUCUCCCUUUUCCAGGUGGGCAUUCUCCAUGAAGCAGCAUGUGAGGAGAACAUCAAGCAAGCUACAUCCCUGCUUACUGUGAGGCCCCCUUGACUCAAAACUUCUCACGGCAACGAUCAAAGGUGAACUACAGCAGAAGAAGACCCAGGACGGGUGGGCAUUCUCCAUGAAGCAGCAUGUGAGGAGAACAUCAAGCAAGCUACAUCCCUGCUUACUGUGAGGCCCCCUUGACUCAAAACUUCUCACGGCAACGAUCAAAGGUGAACUACAGCAGAAGAAGACCCAGGACAGGUAAUUAAUAAUUAUUAAUUACUGAUAAUAUGUCACUGGUAUACAUUGAUGCUUAAAAAAUAGGGCAAUAGGGAAGGGGCAAAGAAGGUAUUAGUAGUGGCUCCCCAAUCUGCCACAGCACCAGUCACCUGCUCACCCCUGCAACAACGAGCAUGGUAAUGAUGAUAGAUAGAUAGAUAGAUAGAUAGAUAGAUAGAUAGAUAGAUAGAUAGAUAGAUAGAUAGAUAGAUAAGGUAGAUAGAUAAGGUAGAUAGAUAGAUAAGGUAGAUAGAUAAGGUAGAUGGAUAAGUUAAGCUAACUGUAAAUAGAUAAUAUUAGAGUUAAGAUAAGAUAGAUAUAUAUAUAUAUAUAUAUAUAUAUAUAUAUAGAUAAGAUAGAUUGUAAUUAGAUAAGCUUAAAGGUAAGUUAAGAUAGAUAUUUAGAUAAGAUAGAUUGUAAAUAGAUAAUAUUAGAGUUAAGAUAAAAUCAUUAUCAUGCCCGACGUUGCACCUUUGUCUUUUUUAAGUAUCAUUGUCUGCCAGGAACAUAUUAUCACGCUUCUCUCCCUUUUCCAGGUGGGCAUUCUCCAUGAAGCAGCAUGUGAGGAGAACAUCAAGCAAGCUACAUCCCUGCUUACUGUGAGGCCCCCUUGACUCAAAACUUCUCACGGCAACGAUCAAAGGUGAACUACAGCAGAAGAAGACCCAGGACGGGUGGGCAUUCUCCAUGAAGCAGCAUGUGAGGAGAACAUCAAGCAAGCUACAUCCCUGCUUACUGUGAGGCCCCCUUGACUCAAAACUUCUCACGGCAACGAUCAAAGGUGAACUACAGCAGAAGAAGACCCAGGACAGGUAAUUAAUAAUUAUUAAUUACUGAUAAUAUGUCACUGGUAUACAUUGAUGCUUAAAAAAUAGGGCAAUAGGGAAGGGGCAAAGAAGGUAUUAGUAGUGGCUCCCCAAUCAGCACCAGUCACCUGCUCACCCCUGCAACAACGAGCAUGGUAAUGAUGAUAGAUAGAUAGAUAGAUAGAUAGAUAGAUAGAUAAGGUAGAUAGAUAAGGUAGAUAGAUAGAUAAGGUAGAUAGAUAAGGUAGAUGGAUAAGUUAAGCUAACUGUAAAUAGAUAAUAUUAGAGUUAAGAUAAGAUAGAUAUAUAUAUAUAUAUAUAUAUAUAUAUAUAUAUAUAUAUAUAUAGAUAAGAUAGAUUGUAAUUAGAUAAGCUUAAAGGUAAGUUAAGAUAGAUAUUUAGAUAAGAUAGAUUGUAAAUAGAUAAUAUUAGAGUUAAGAUAAAAUCAUUAUCAUGCCCGACGUUGCACCUUUGUCUUUUUUAAGUAUCAUUGUCUGCCAGGAACAUAUUAUCACGCUUCUCUCCCUUUUCCAGGUGGGCAUUCUCCAUGAAGCAGCAUGUGAGGAGAACAUCAAGCAAGCUACAUCCCUGCUUACUGUGAGGCCCCCUUGACUCAAAACUUCUCACGGCAACGAUCAAAGGUGAACUACAGCAGAAGAAGACCCAGGACAGGUAAUUAAUAAUUAUUAAUUACUGAUAAUAUGUCACUGGUAUACAUUGAUGCUUAAAAAAUAGGGCAAUAGGGAAGGGGCAAAGAAGGUAUUAGUAGUGGCUCCCCAAUCUGCCACAGCACCAGUCACCUGCUCACCCCUGCAACAACGAGCAUGGUAAUGAUGAUAGAUAGAUAGAUAGAUAGAUAGAUAGAUAGAUAGAUAGAUAGAUAAGGUAGAUAGAUAAGGUAGAUGGAUAAGUUAAGCUAACUGUAAAUAGAUAAUAUUAGAGUUAAGAUAAGAUAUAUAUAUAUAUAUAUAUAUAUAUAUAUAGAUAUAUAUAUAUAGAUAAGAUAGAUUGUAAUUAGAUACGCUUAAAGGUAAGUUAAGAUAGAUAUUUAGAUAAGAUAGAUUGUAAAUAGAUAAUAUUAGAGUUAAGAUAAAAUCAUUAUCAUGCCCGACGUUGCACCUUUGUCUUUUUUAAGUAUCAUUGUCUGCCAGGAACAUAUUAUCACGCUUCUCUCCCUUUUCCAGGUGGGCAUUCUCCAUGAAGCAGCAUGUGAGGAGAACAUCAAGCAAGCUACAUCCCUGCUUACUGUGAGGCCCCCUUGACUCAAAACUUCUCACGGCAACGAUCAAAGGUGAACUACAGCAGAAGAAGACCCAGGACAGGUAAUUAAUAAUUAUUAAUUACUGAUAAUAUGUCACUGGUAUACAUUGAUGCUUAAAAAAUAGGGCAAUAGGGAAGGGGCAAAGAAGGUAUUAGUAGUGGCUCCCCAAUCUGCCACAGCACCAGUCACCUGCUCACCCCUGCAACAACGAGCAUGGUAAUGAUGAUAGAUAGAUAGAUAGAUAGAUAUAUAGAUAGAUAGAUAGAUAGAUAGAUAGAUAGAUAGAUAGAUAAGGUAGAUAGAUAAGGUAGAUAGAUAGAUAAGGUAGAUAGAUAAGGUAGAUGGAUAAGUUAAGCUAACUGUAAAUAGAUAA